rnacentral:rRNA from 1 species
UACAGAGGGGGCGAGCGUUGUUCGGAAUUACUGGGCGUAAAGGGCGCGUAGGCGGCCUUCUAAGUCGAACGUGAAAUCCCCGGGCUCAACCCGGGAACUGCGUCCGAUACUGGGAGGCUUGAAUCCGGGAGAGGGAUGUGGAAUUCCAGGUGUAGCGGUGAAGUGCGUAGAUAUCUACAGGAACUCCGGUGGCGAAGGCGGCGUGCUGGACCUCUUCUGACGCUGAGGCGCGAAAGCUAGGGGAGCAAACGGG